rnacentral:rRNA from 1 species
UACGUAGGUGGCAAGCGUUAUCCGGAUUUACUGGGUGUAAAGGGCGUGUAGGCGGGGAAGCAAGUCAGAUGUGAAAACCACGGGCUCAACCUGUGGCCUGCAUUUGAAACUGUUUUUCUUGAGUGCUGGAGAGGCAAUCGGAAUUCCGUGUGUAGCGGUGAAAUGCGUAGAUAUACGGAGGAACACCGGUGGCGAAAGCGGCUCUCUGGCCUGUAACUGACACUGAGGCUCGAAAGCGUGGGGAGCAAACAGG